rnacentral:rRNA from 1 species
GACGAACGCUGGCGGCGUGCUUAACACAUGCAAGUCGAACGGCAAGGCCCUGCUUGCAGGGUCCUCGAGUGGCGAACGGGUGAGUAACACGUGGGUGAUCUGCCCUGCACUUCUUGAUAAGCUUGGGCAACUGGGUCUAAUACCGGAUAGGAACCAUCUUUAGUGUGGUGGUUGGAAAGUUUUUUCGGUGUAGGAUGAGCUCGCGGCCUAUCAGCUUGUUGGUGGGGUAAUGGCCUACCAAGGCGGCGACGGGUAGCCGGCCGGAGAGGGUGUACGGCGACAUUGGGACUGAGAUACGGCACAGACGCCGACGGGAGGCAGCAGUGGGGAAGACUGAACAAUGGGCGCAAGGCGGAUGCAGAGACGCCGCGUGGGGGAUGAAGGCCUUCGGGUUGUAAACUAGUUGCGCUAGGGACGAAGCUUUUUGUGACGGUACCUAGAGAAGAAGCACCGGCUAACUACGUG